rnacentral:sRNA from 1 species
UUCGAGACCUAUGGCUCGAGCCGAGCGAAGCGAGACAGCGUCACGAAGUGACGACCCGAAGGGCGAGGCCGCAGGCCGAGUA